GGCAGCAGUGGGGAAUCUUCGGCAAUGGGCGAAAGCCUGACCGAGCAACGCCGCGUGAAUGAUGAAGGCCUUCGGGUUGUAAAAUUCUGUUAUAAGGGAAGAACGACUUUAGUAGGAAAUGGCUAAAGUGUGACGGUACCUUAUGAGAAAGCCACGGCUAACUACGUGCCAGCAGCCGCGGUAAUACGUAGGUGGCAAGCGUUAUCCGGAAUUAUUGGGCGUAAAGAGCGCGCAGGUGGUUGAUUAAGUCUGAUGUGAAAGCCCACGGCUUAACCGUGGAGGGUCAUUGGAAGCUGGUCGACUUGAGUGCAGAAGAGGGAAGUGGAAUUCCAUGUGUAGCGGUGAAAUGCGUAGAGAUACGGAGGAACACCAGUGGCGAAGGCGGCUUCCUGGUCUGUAACUGACACUGAGGCGCGAAAGCGUGGGGAGCAAACAGGAUUAGAUACCCUGGUAGUCCACGCCGUAAACGAUGAGUGCUAAGUGU
rnacentral:rRNA from 1 species